rnacentral:tRNA from 3 species
UAGAUGAAUGCUCGCUGGUUUGAGCGUCUAGCUGUUAACUAGAAGUUUGUAGGAUCGAGGCCUUCUCAUCUAG